rnacentral:rRNA from 1 species
GACGAACGCUGGCGGCGUGCUUAACACAUGCAAGUCGAACGGAAAGGCCCUUCGGGGUACUCGAGUGGCGAACGGGUGAGUAACACGUGGGUGAUCUGCCCUGCACUUUGGGAUAAGCCUGGGAAACUGGGUCUAAUACCGAAUAGGACCACGCGCUUCAUGGUGUGUGGUGGAAAGCUUUUGCGGUGUGGGGUGGGCCCGCGGCCUAUCAGCUUGUUGGUGGGGUAAUGGCCUACCAAGGCGACGACGGGUAGCCGGCCUGAGAGGGUGACCGGCCACACUGGGACUGAGAUACGGCCCAGACUCCUACGGGAGGCAGCAGUGGGGAAUAUUGCACAAUGGGCGCAAGCCUGAUGCAGCGACGCCGCGUGAGGGAUGACGGCCUUCGGGUUGUAAACCUCUUUCAAUAGGGACGAAGCGCAAGUGACGGUACCUAUAGAAGAAGCACCGGCCAACUACGUG